AUGAACGCUGGCGGCGUGCCUAACACAUGCAAGUCGAACGGAGAUUAGACGCUGACGAGACUUCGGUCAAAUCUUGUUAAUCUUAGUGGCGGACGGGUGAGUAACGCGUGGGCAACCUGCCUCAUACUGGGGGAUAGCAGUUGGAAGCGACUGAUAAUACCGCAUAAGCGCACGAGAUCGCAUGAUCUAGUGUGAAAAACUCCGGUGGUAUGAGAUGGGCCCGCGUCAGAUUAGCUAGUUGGUAAGGUAACGGCUUACCAAGGCGACGAUCUGUAGCCGGACUGAGGGGUCGGACGGCCACAUUGGGACUGAGACACGGCCCAAACUCCUACGGGAGGCAGCAGUGGGGGAUAUUGCACAAUGGAGGAAACUCUGAUGCAGCGACGCCGCGUGAGUGAAGAAGUAUUUCGGUAUGUAAAGCUCUAUCAGCAGGGAAGAAAGGCUCGUAAGAGAGAUGACGGUACCUGACUAAGAAGCCCCGGCUAACUACGUGCCAGCCGCCGC
rnacentral:rRNA from 1 species